rnacentral:rRNA from 1 species
AUACGUAGGGGGCGAGCGUUGUCCGGAAUGAUUGGGCGUAAAGGGCGCGUAGGCGGCCGCUUAAGUCUGGAGUGAAAGUCCUGUUUUCAAGAUGGGAAUUGCUUUGGAUACUGGGGGGCUUGAGUGCAGGAGAGGUUAUCGGAAUUCCCGGUGUAGCGGUGAAAUGCGUAGAGAUCGGGAGGAACACCAGUGGCGAAGGCGGGUAGCUGUGCUGCAACUGACGCUGAGGCGCGAAAGUGUGGGGAGCAAACAGGAUGAGAUACCCUGGUAGUCCACACUGUAAACGAUGAAUGCUAGGUGUAAGAGGUAUCGACCCCUUUUGUGCCGGAGUCAACACAAUAAGCAUUCCGCCUGGGGAGUACGGCCGCAAGGUUGAAACUCAAAUGAAUUGGCGGGG